rnacentral:rRNA from 1 species
UACGUAGGCAGCGAGCGUUGUUCGGAGUUACUGGGCGUAAAGGGUGUGUAGGCGGUUGUUUAAGUUUGGUGUGAAAUCUCCCGGCUCAACUGGGAGGGUGCGCCGAAUACUGAAUGACUAGAGUGCGGGAGAGGAGAGUGGAAUUCCUGGUGUAGCGGUGAAAUGCGUAGAUAUCAGGAGGAACACCGGUGGUGUAGACGGCUCUCUGGACCGUAACUGACGCUGAGACACGAAAGCGUGGGUAGCAAGCAGG